UGUGGGGAGACUACAAGGCCAAGAAGGGUAAAGGAGACGUGAAGAGGAAAGGAAAGGUUGAUCCAUAUGCCUACAUCCCUCUGAGGAAAGCACAGCUCAACCUCAGGAAGAAAGCAAAGAUGCAGGGCCAGUUAAAGGGCAUGGUGAGAGGGACCCAGAAGGGAGCACAGGAAGAAGAGGAGGUCCUUAAAAGUUU